rnacentral:rRNA from 1 species
CGAGUGGCGGACGGGUGAGUAAUGCGUAGGAGUCUACCUAGUUGAGUGGGAUAGCCUAGGGAAACUUAGGGUAAUACCGCAUAAGUCUUACGGGAGAAAGCAGGGGACUGUUAAAGGCCUUGCGCGAUUAGAUGAGCCUACGUCGGAUUAGCUUGUUGGUGGGGUAAAGGCCUACCAAGGCGAUGAUCCGUAGCUGGUCUGAGAGGACGACCAGCCACACUGGGACUGAGACACGGCCCAG